rnacentral:rRNA from 1 species
GACGGAGGAUGCAAGCGUUAUCCGGAAUGAUUGGGCGUAAAGCGUCCGCAGGUGGCAGUUCAAGUCUGCUGUCAAAGACCGGGGCUUAACUUCGGAAAGGCAGUGGAAACUGAACAGCUAGAGUAUGGUAGGGGCAGAGGGAAUUCCUGGUGUAGCGGUGAAAUGCGUAGAGAUCAGGAGGAACACCUAUGGCGAAAGCAGGUUUCUGGACCAUCACUGACGCUGAUCUGCGAAAGCUAGGGGAGCAAACAGG